CCCCUAGAUGUUCUGGGCCGCACGCGCGCUACACUGACGAAUGCAACGAGCUUAUAACCUUGGCCGAAAGGUCUGGGUAAUCUCCAAAUUUCGUCGUGAUGGGGAUAGAUUAUUGCAAUUAUUAAUCUUGAACGAGGAAUUCCUAGUAAACGCAGAUCAUCAAUCUGCAUUGAUUACGUCCCUGCCCUUUGUACACACCGCCCGUCGCACCUACCGAUUGAAUGGUCCGGUGAAGCCUCGGGAUUGUGGCGAGUUUCCUUUAUUGGAAGUUUGUCGCGAGAACUUGUCUAAACCUUAUCAUUUAGAGGAAGGUGAAGUCGUAACA
rnacentral:rRNA from 1 species